ensembl:lncRNA
CUUUGUCUUCUAGGUUUUGUCAUUCUUUUUGGGUCUGUAAAAAGGAGGCACUAUUUCCAAUGCUUUGGGUUGGUCCACGGUUGGGGUCCAUUUCAAGUCAGGAGAUACAGGCUAGAUUAAAGACUGAUGGAUGAUAAGGUACAGUAGGGGGCUGUCAAUUAUUUGACCUCUAGUUACGUAACAUUUCCCAAAACUAUGAAGCUGGGAAUGUGUAAAUGUAUGUUUUUAAACUAUUGCUUUGUAUAUGUUGUAAUAAUGUCUAGACAUUUAUGGCUGCUAUUUAUUUUUUAAGUAAUAUUUUUAAACAGUGUUGAGGGAAACUAUAUGCUCAUAUCUAAAGACACUCAUUUAAAGUGUUUUCUUGGGAAACAACAUUAGCAGCAAUGAGUACCACAGCAAAUGUGUAUGUACUUACAAAUUGAGUGUAGAAUCAGUUCUCAUAGUUAUCAAGUACUAUAAAGAUUCUCCAGUAUUUCAUAUCCAGACCUCUGUACUGUGUAGCUUGAAUCCCCUGCCCUCCCUCUGGUUCUUCAGAAGUGGUAUCUCUCCUAUCCGGAGCUCCUGGUUCUUGGGAAGCUUGUCUGCUGUCUCUAACCCAGCCUCGGGCUCCUUAAAUGUGGAGCAGUUCACAGCACAGGUCCAGUUGGGCCGGUGGUCAACUACCAGGUCCAAAGUUGGUAGCGACGUUGUGCUAAUGAUGUCCCUGAACCCAAGAGAAGAUUUCAGUGAGGGACUGUCUGUAGCGAAAGUCUCAAAGAUGAUUGAGCUCCAAAAGGUUGAGAAGGAUGCAGAAGACGCCGACACAGAACAUGAAGAGGAGGAAGAUGGUUUUCUCUGUGGGUCGAGACACAUAGCAGUCCACCGGCAGCCGGCAGGGCGUGGCCUCGCACAGGAAUUGGACGGGCACGUGGAAGCCGAAGAGGAGCCACUGGGCCGUGACAAAGCCCACCUCCAGCAGCGCCCGGAAGCACACAUGAAACACAUAGUACUUGGAGAGGACACCCCCUGCUCCUCCACCACCACCAGGGCCUCCUGGCGCGUGGUAGUGGCCCUCCCUGUAGACGAGAGCCCUGGCCGGGGUUAGAGACAUGGCGGUGGCGGCCGUAGCAGUGGCGGCCUCUCCCUUCAGGAGGCCCUGACCCUGGGUGGUGAUUCCCUCCAAGACGUCGGCCAGGCUGUGACCCAGGUGACGGUGUGAGCGGAUGGAGCAGCUAUCCGAGUCGCAGCUCCGUUCGAACGCCUCGCGACCCCUGUCCUUCCCCUCGGCUCGAAGCGCCUCCCUCGGGUCAGCCCCGUGGCCCUGGCCCGCCGGUUUGCGGGGCAGCUUCGACAGGUUGUGCCACGUGUAGAUGAUGAAACAGAGAGACGGCGUGGAGACGCUGAUGAUGUGGAAGACCCAGAAGCGUGGCUGUGAGAUGGGGGCAAAGGCAUCGUAACACACCGUGGUGCAGCCUGGCUGCAGGGUGUUGCACACAAACAUCUCCUGCUCGUCGGCGUACACGUCCUCGGUCGCCACGGCAAUUAUGAGGAGGCGGAAAAUCACCAUAACGGUUAGCCAGAGGCGUCCAAUCAUGGUAGAGUGCUGGUGGACGGCGUCCAGGAGCCGUUUGAGGAGUGUCCACUCCGUCAUGAUAGUGGUGGUCCACGGUCCUCCCCCCCUCAGA